AUACGUAGGGUGCGAGCGUUGUCCGGAAUUACUGGGCGUAAAGAGCUCGUAGGUGGUUUGUCGCGUCGUCUGUGAAAUUCCGGGGCUUAACUCCGGGCGUGCAGGCGAUACAGGCAUAACUUGAGUACUGUAGGGGAGACUGGAAUUCCUGGUGUAGCGGUGAAAUGCGCAGAUAUCAGGAGGAACACCGGUGGCGAAGGCGGGUCUCUGGGCAGUAACGGACGCUGAGGAGCGAAAGCAUGGGUAGCGAACAGGAUUAGAUACCCUGGUAGUCCAUGCCGUAAACGGUGGGCGCUAGGUGUAGGGGUCUUCCACGACUUCUGUGCCGUAGCUAACGCAUUAAGCGCCCCGCCUGGGGAGUACGGCCGCAAGGCUAAAACUCAAAUGAAUUGACGGGG
rnacentral:rRNA from 1 species